rnacentral:sRNA from 1 species
GGAUGUGAGGGCAAUCUGGCUGCGACAUCUGUUACCCCAUUGAUCGCCAGGGUUGAUUCUCGGCUGAUCUGGCUGGCUAGGCUGGUCUCCCCUUCCUCCCUCACCGCUCCAUGUGCGUCCCUCCCAAGGACGGCCUUCCCCGAUUAGAGACGGACCAGUCUUCAGUCUAGGGUAUACGAGUAGCGAGUAGCUGCGCUCCCCUGCUAGAACCUCCAAACAAGCUCUCAAGGACCAUCCUACUUCUUAGUGAAUAAUUUAUUCCUUAAGACCAAGAGUAAGUACAGGUAUAAGAACAAUGAACCCACCUUCUCUGACCCAUCUUGGAUGGAGCUAGAAGGA